UGGACGAUGUUGAGGCACAUGAGAAGUACCAAAGAGAUCAAGAACCUGCAGUUGCUGAACAGAAGGUCAGUGACAAUUCUAACCGAGAUAGGCCAAGUGACUCAGCAACGUCUGACGGUGAUGCCAAAGUUACCAAUGAUGAUGAUGAUGACGAACUGGACAUAGAUGAGUUAAACGAGUUAGAAGCAAGCUUAUCUAAGGUAACAAUUCAAGAGCCGGGCACUACUGCUUAAUCCAAGAGUGGCAAUCUAAAGUCUGCAUCCAUUUUUGAGUGUGGACCCGGUGUUAUAUGGACUGUGAACUUAUGGCCCCCUCAAUGAGGGCAACCUCUCUGAUGUUCUCCGAGCGGUUAUAAAGUUCACCCAUAAUUGUUCAUACCGUCCUUAUGGAUCAUUAGGUGCUUUUGUGUAAUAUCUACUUUUCCAUGGAGGAUUGUCCCAUACUUGAGGACAUAAAAAUAAUCGUUGCCCUGUAAUUUACCUGAGCUUCAUAGGAUGCAAGUGAUGUCUCCUUUCAGUGUAUGAUAUUUUAGUUAACGAUGUCAAAGCAUGUAAGCAACGUUUCGCCCGAGAUUAUGCUAGUCAAGUGCUAGGUCUUGCGCUUCCAAA